rnacentral:lncRNA from 1 species
ACCUCUGAAAGUAACUUUAGCUUUACGGUUACAGGUUGAUCUAAGAUUGUCAACACUUUUGAGAUGCAGUAUAAGAGCCAUUAUCCGUUAAGAUUGGUCAUCAGUUAAACGAGGAGCAGAAGAGUAGAAACCCAGUAGACUGAAGUUUUGCACACAGCAGCUAUAUUAAUAAUUAACAGGCAGUGCCGAGAGAGUUUUGCAUAAUUUAUGUAAAUAUUAUCGAGUCACUUGUAAAAGCUCAUCUAGUUGCAGUCAUCCAUUCGCCUAACAGUGAGCAAAUAGUUGCAGCAGCAUCUGUGGAAGCGACAGCAGCAACAGAUAAUGCUGUAGUAGCAGCUGAAACAAUACAAGCAAAGAGAGAGAGAGAGAGAAUGAGACAGAGAGGGAGGGUGGAGAGAGAAAGAGGGAAAGGGGAGAGAGUGACAGGGAGAGGGAGAGAGUGAUUCUGUUCCAAUACCUCUCAAUGAAUAUCCUAUGCAACAGCAUCAGUUUAAGUCUGCUUCAAAGUCUUAUUGAUUUUUCUUAUUCAAGCGCGCACAACCCUUCCAAAAAAUUCUACCAGGUACAUUUUUAUUUCUUAAAUUCGGUGAUGUUUCGUGGUAUUUGGGGGAAUAGAGAGAAAAGGUGCACAUUAUAUAUAUAUACAUAUAUACAUAUAUAUUGCAUACAUAAUUUUUGUUUUUCCUCACCAUUUACAUGAAAUAUCACUAAAUGGUUUCAGAAUUGAUGUACGAAAAAAAAAAUGAAAACAAAAAGGCAAAGAUAGGAAUACCUUCGGCUAGACAUUUUCUUAACGUUUUCUGCGAUUACUCUGGAUAAUUUAAUUUUAAGGAGAUCGUAUUCCAUACAUUUCUUGCACCAUUUAGCAAGCGCUACAUACAUUUCGGUCCUGUAUUUAAAUCCCUACCAUUUCUGCGAUUUCAGUUGUUGUUGGUGCUGCUGUUGUUUAUGUCCCUCAUUGGAAUAUAUAUAUAUAUAUAUAUAUAAGCAUGUAUAUAUAUAUAUGAACACACCAAACACACACACACAUAUAUAUAUACAUAUAAUCAUGCAUGUAUAAAUAUACAUAAACACACAUAUAUACACAUUUAUCGAUCUGUCUUUAAACAUACAUAUAUGCAUGCAUACAUACAUAUAUAUAUAUAUAUAUAUGUAUAAACAUACACACAUAUAUAUGCACACACAUGCAUUUAUAUUCACACAUAUAUAUCUGCAAUGAAUGUUGUUUACUUUAUUGCCAAAAUAUUAACCUGUUGUUUCACUUUAUUCUUCAAUUUGUGCGUGUCAAAGAAUUGACCGAAUACUAAAUUGCAUCGAUAAGUCAUUGAUAAAAUCAUUUCAAUCAAUCAGUUCAUGAUUCGUACCUUGCCAAAUCUAUUUUUCUUCAGGUGUUGCUUCAACCAAAAUUUGUAAGCAGACUUACUCGACUGCCACUUAGCACCCGGCAGCAAUGUAUUUUGAGAUUUAUUGGUGUGAACAGCAGAACGUUUAUAAUAUUAUUUUGACACCCAACUAUCAGUGAUAUUUCCAAGCAUGUACUCACUCUGUCAUCGUCUGCAGACACCACUUGUGUAGUUUGGUGUUAUUUGCUAUGUAAAUCUACUUAGAAUUGGUUUUGUUAGUUGCAAAAGUAUUAUAUUUUCAUUUAGUUAUUAAUUUAUAGCAUGCCUUAUCAAUAUAAGGUAAAGCAUUUUUGUACACUUUCAGAGCUAUAUUUCUUUGGAAUACAGUAUCUUUGUGUUUCAAUUAAUGUUAACAAUUAACAUGAAUUUCAUUUGUUUAAAUAGCUAACAAAUUAAAGUUGCUUUAAAAGCAAAAUUUUAACUUUUAAUUUAAAAAAAAUAUUAAAGGAAUAAACCUGAAUGUAAACAAUCACAGCGGCACCUCUACUAAUUCAUAUAUCUUAAUGUUCCAUUCCAAGAUUAUUUUCUUAGAUUCUCUCAGAAAAAUCUAUGCUCCCAGCUUAUUAUAAAUUAGUUGGUAUUCAUAAUCAUUGUUAAUUGGAUACGAGUUCUUGAUAAAGCUUUAAAUAAUGAACAUCCAAAGAUUGUCAGAACUCCACACACAUAGCAUACCUGAAAAAUAUACCUUUUUAGCUUAAGGUGUAACAUACCUAAUAUAUCAAUAUAUAUCAUAUAAUAAGGCAUAUAACAUACCUUAUCGAUAUAAGAUGAAGCAAUUUUGCACACUUUCAGAGCUAUAUAUGGAAUACAGUAUCUUUGUGUUUGAAUUAAUAUUGAUAAUUACCAAGAAUUUGGAAGAAUUUAGUAAGAUAACAAAACUUUAUAUUAUUAUUGAACCGGUACAAGAAACAGGAUAUUGGGAAAAGUUCUUACAUGAAAUCAUGACUAACAGGGUAAUUUAAAUAUCAACAUUUUAAAACAGGCAAUUUUGUAUCAUAGAACUAGAGGUGGACUCAGGUGGGUUGAUAUCAAAACAGUUUGCUUUGUUCUAGCACUGCUGUAUUUAGAAACCUCUUUAUUUUUGUUUUAUCUUAAUA